AUUGAACGCUGGCGGUAUGCUUAACACAUGCAAGUCGAACGGUAGCAGGCCUUCGGGCGCUGACGAGUGGCGGACGGGUGAGUAACGCGUAGGAAUCUGCCUCAUAGUGGGGGACAACGUGGGGAAACUCACGCUAAUACCGCAUACGCCCUACGGGGGAAAGCGGGGGAUCUUCGGACCUCGCGCUAACAGAUGAGCCUGCGUUGGAUUAGCUAGUUGGUAGGGUAAUGGCCUACCAAGGCGAUGAUGGGUAGCCGGCCUGAGAGGGUGAACGGCCACACUGGAACUGAGACACGGUCCAGACUCCUACGGGUGGCUG
rnacentral:rRNA from 1 species